rnacentral:rRNA from 1 species
AUUGAACGCUGGCGGCAUGCCUUACACAUGCAAGUCGAACGGUAACAGACCGCAAGGUGCUGACGAGUGGCGAACGGGUGAGUAAUACAUCGGAACGUGCCCGAUCGUGGGGGAUAACGGAGCGAAAGCUUUGCUAAUACCGCAUACGAUCUACGGAUGAAAGCAGGGACCGCAAGGCCUUGCGCGGACGGAGCGGCCGAUGGCAGAUUAGGUAGUUGGUGGGAUAAAAGACUUACCAAGCCGACGAUCUGUAGCUGGUCUGAGAGGACGACCAGCCACACUGGGACUGAGACACGGCCCAGACUCCUACGGGAGGCAGCAGUGGGGAAUUUUGGACAAUGGGCGAAAGCCUGAUCCAGCCAUGCCGCGUGCAGGAUGAAGGCCUUCGGUUGUAAAGCUCUUUGUCAGGGAAGGAAACACCGGCUCUAACACAGUCCGGGAAUGACGGUACCUGAAGAAUAAGGAUCGGCUAACUCCGUGCCAGCAGCC